rnacentral:lncRNA from 1 species
AGGAAUUUCAUCAAACGCAACACUCCCACCCGGCCUGAUCUUAAGGAGAGGGAGCGGCAGAGACUGGAAAGUCUCAGGAAGAAGCAGGAGGCUGAGGAACAGAGGAAGAAGAAAGUGGAGGAGGAAAAGAGACGGCGGCAGGCAGAAAUGAAACAGAAGAGGGAAGAGCGACUAAGGAAGGCGCUGCAGGCUCGGGAGCGGGUGGAACAAAUGGAGGAAGAGAAGAAAAAGCGGAUGGAACAGAAGAUUUUACAGAAUGACGAAAAGUCGCUCCAGGUGAUGGGCUCCUCUUCACGUGACCCGUAGUAAGUGGUGGACUUGUUGCAUGAGGCUGGCGUUAAAUCCAGUGGGUGUUGGGUUCUCAGUCUGAUUAAGACCUGGGUCUGAUUAAGACCUGCUUAAGACCACAGGCCUCAAACUUCAUAAGAUCUCCCAGUUCCCCCUUGUGGAAAAGGCCGUGACGUGUCCAUGGGGGGCUGUGGAGCAGAGCUGUGUGGCUUUCUCAGGUGCGCAUCUCGCAAGUGCGGGAAGAGAAAGCGGUAGAGGAAAGGAACAAGAAAAAACUGUCUAAGAAGGCUGGAGAAGCUGAUGCAC